CACAUUGUCACGUGACCGUGAAGCUCGUUGUCCAUUAUAGUUCGGUUACGUUGUUAUGGUUCUGGUUUCGUUUGCUAGCUAACGGUUCAAACAAUCAUCAGCAAGCUUGGACAAAAACGCCUGUCUGGAAAUGGCUUUCCUCCACAAAGAAUCCCAUUCAGCAAUCAGAAAUACGACAUCUGACAAUGCUACCAUCUACAUGAACUGGGACUUUUUUGGUCAAGAGCAUCAACCAGGAAUCAUACUCACCUUGUUUGGAGCGUGUCUCUUUGGAGUUGUCAGAACAGUCCUACACAAUCUGAAGGUGCCAUAUACUGUGCUAUUAGCUCUUUGUGGGAUGUUAUUGGGAUCACUCAGUUUCCAAUACCCAGAGGUAUG
ensembl:lncRNA